UUUGCAGUUUUGCUAGCCUGUCUCUUUUGGUAAAACAAAAAACAAAAAAACUAUACCUGUCUCCUCCUAUGUCGCUGCUGCGCCGAAACAGAUCCAGAGAGAAGUGAGGGGGAUGGGCUGCUCAUGAGCGAGAGCUCGGUGAGGGAGGAGACGGGGAGAGGAACCGCUCAAGCGCAGGAGAAGAGGUCGACGACGAGGGGAACCGCUCAAGCGGACGAGAAGAGCUCGAAGAAGAGGGGAACGCUUCCUCGCAUGGUACAGCCGCAAGGGUGGAAAUAAGAUGGCACAUGAUUGGGAAACAAAAUUGAGACCAUUCGUUGAGCAGUGGAGAACAGCAAGCUCGGUUCACUGGCACGAGGAGGCGCUCUUUGACCUAGCUGCACACGAGGCUUACCUAUGGUGUGGUCACAAAUGAGAUUCUGCUACAUACCAAGAGCUGACCCUGAGGACAUGGAGACGGCUCAGACUUCAGCUUCGGAGACGCACUACAGUUCUUCCGUGACUAGCGUCAUAGAUCACUCGGCCCAGUUGACGCUGGAGGCUCAAGAAGAGACUGCCGCGAUAGUUAACCGACUGACCAUGGGGAACGAAAUGACUCCGUCCGAGAAUCUAGCAGCAUGGCAGUGUAUUGAGAGCAAGCCGCGGAGGAUCUUGGAGACUUUGAGGCAUACCAUCAGACAACCUGCCUAGUUGCGAAGCACACACUCCCCCAUGCCCCUCACACCGUGCUAGGCCGGCGUUCCAGCCGACUCCGAUGGCGUGGCGGCAGCCAACUGUCCGGCUGCUGCCUCCACCUUCCGCAGUCCGGUGGCUCCUCCUGGUAGCACCAGCCUCUCCCUCCCCCUGCACAGCUCCCAGUGAUGAUGACAACAGGUUCACCAGAUACUCCACCACCGCCGGCCACACAGGCCAUUCUGGUCAUGCCACCUCCAGCGCAAUCCCAUACCCGCAAGAGACAUCGCCGUCCUACUCGUAGUCAUAGAGUUGCUGCGCAGGGUCGUGGACAGGGAAGACAUGAGGAUGAUACGGUUAGAGGACAGACAGACGGAAUGGACCACUCAAAUAUGUCAAAGUUCUCCUUAAUCCUUGCUUCAUUGGUGCUUUUUGGAAGUACACUCUGACCCAUUUGAAGACACCAGCGUAAGGCAACUUGAGCAGGCGUCUUCUGCAACUUCUCAGCAACAGAGAUGACAAUAGGAUUGCUAAGGACGAUAGCCCCGCUGACCCCAGGUAGAGAUGAUCCAGGCGAACCUAAUGGCGAAAAUGCCUGCAAGUGACAGUUUAUGACAACGCAUGGAAGCGGCGCAGUACCGAUUAUCAACAAAC